rnacentral:sRNA from 1 species
GACCGACGCGGAUUACGGUGGCG